rnacentral:rRNA from 1 species
GACGAACGCUGGCGGCGUGCUUAACACAUGCAAGUCGAACGGAAAGGCCCUGCUUUUGUGGGGGGCUCGAGUGGCGAACGGGUGAGUAACACGUGAGUAACCUGCCCUUGACUUUGGGAUAACUUCAGGAAACUGGGGCUAAUACCGGAUAGGAGCUCCUGCUGCAUGGUGGGGGUUGGAAAGUUUCGGCGGUUGGGGAUGGACUCGCGGCUUAUCAGCUUGUUGGUGGGGUAGUGGCUUACCAAGGCUUUGACGGGUAGCCGGCCUGGGAGGGUGACCGGCCACAUUGGGACUGAGAUACGGCCCAGACUCCUACGGGAGGCAGCAGUGGGGAAUAUUGCACAAUGGGCGGAAGCCUGAUGCAGCAACGCCGCGUGCGGGAUGACGGCCUUCGGGUUGUAAACCGCUUUCGCCUGUGACGAAGCGUGAGUGACGGUAAUGGGUAAAGAAGCACCGGCUAACUACGUG